UACGGAGGGUGCAAGCGUUGUCCGGAAUCACUGGGCGUAAAGGGCGCGUAGGCGGCUCGGUAAGUAGGGGGUGAAAUCCUGCGGCUCAACCGCAGGGCUGCCUUCUAAACUGUCGAGCUCGAGCACGGUAGAGGCAGAUGGAAUUCCCGGUGUAGCGGUGGAAUGCGUAGAGAUCGGGAAGAACAUCGGUGGCGAAGGCGCUCUACUGGACCACAACUGACACUCAGGGACGAAAGCUAGGGGAGCGAAUGGG
rnacentral:rRNA from 1 species